rnacentral:rRNA from 1 species
UACGAAGGGGGGCUAGCGUUGCUCGGAAUUACUGGGCGUAAAGCGCACGUAGGCGGAUUGUUAAGUCGGGGGUGAAAUCCUGGAGCUCAACUCCAGAACUGCCUUCGAUACUGGCGAUCUCGAGUUCGGGAGAGGUGAGUGGAACUGCGAGUGUGGAGGUGAAAUUCGUAGAUAUUCGGAAGAACACCAGUGGCGAAGGCGGCUCACUGGCCCGGUACUGACGCUCAUGCACGAAAGCGUGGGGAGCAAACAGG